UUCCCUGAUCAAAAUCAUUCGUUCAAGUGUCUUGCUCUUGCAUGAAGGAGAUAGAGAGUGGAUUUGAGCCAAGUAUGACUUACCGCCAUUUGCUUUCUACAAAGCAAAAUGCCCACACUAUACUGUAUCUUGCGGGAAGUCAUCGUUGACUCACUUUCGUUCCCUUUUCUAAUCAGACACAGUUAAUGACCAAGACCAUGGUGAAUGCAUUAUUGCGAGAUCCAAGUGUCUACGGAAGAUUUGUUGCGUUAGGUCAUAUGUUUUAGUCUUGACAAACCAAUAACCAUAACAUGUGUCAAAUUAUGAACCUAGUCAUGAGUUUAGAUGUGUUGAUUGUUCAAAACUGUUGGGUGCACGUGACCGUUAGUUUCCAGCAAACACAAGUCAAGAGCUCAUUUAAUGCUUGUCACUCUUGUCUACCAAGACUUUUGAGAAGUCUGAUUUCUCAUUUAUUGAGAAAUGACUUUGGGCGUGUCUAACACGCUAAGAGCUGAAGCAAAAAGAGGCCAUUCGGCCAGUGUGUGUGUUUCGCAGAGUGAGCAAGAAACACAGAGAAAGUGUUUCAGGAGGAGAGGCGCAGUCCGAAUAGAGAGAAACACAGUAAGAGUGUAAGAAAGUGAAAAAAAAAAAAAAAAAAAAAAAAAGGGAGAUAUUUUUCUUUACUUUAAGUUACAUACAAAGAAAAUAAAUCAGUAGAGUUUUCUUGGAGAUUUUGAGUGCUACAUCUCUGGAAAGUUGAAGUGUUCAGAAGAAUGAUUUUCUUAUUAACUUUAUGGGGAUUUAGGAUUUUUUUUCCCAACAAGAACAGCUUAAGAAAAAUGAAGUUUCAAGAGCUCGACUCUACCCUCGACUCUCUUGAUUGAUCAAGCCUCGGAAGUGAAGUUUAUGUUUCCUCAACUGCUGGUGGAUUUAUUGAGGGGAGAAUCUAUUUUGGGCGAUGUCAAACAGUCAGUUGAAGGACAACUAUGAUGACUAACAAAUUGACCAACGGAUUGCUCUGGAUUUUUUU